CCAGACUCCUACGGGAGGCAGCAGUGGGGAAUAUUGCGCAAUGGGCGAAAGCCUGACGCAGCGACGCCGCGUGAGGGAUGAAGGUCUUCGGAUCGUAAACCUCUGUCAGCAGGGAAGAACGGUCACUGUGCUAAUCAGCAGUGAAUUGACGGUACCUGCAAAGGAAGCACCGGCUAACUACGUGCCAGCAGCCGCGGUAAUACGUAGGGGGCAAGCGUUUUCCGGAUUUACUGGGUGUAAAGGGAGCGUAGACGGCAGUGCAAGUCCGGAUGGAAAGCCCGGGGCCCAACCCUGGGCCUGCUCUGGAAACUGCGGCGCUGGGGUACGGGAGGGGCAGGCGGAAUUCCUG
rnacentral:rRNA from 1 species